AUCAACUUUCGAUGGUAGGAUAGAGGCCUACCAUGGUGGUAACGGGUAACGGGGUGUUAGGGCACGACACCGGAGAGGGAGCCUGAGAAACGGCUACCACAUCCAAGGAUGGCAGCAGGCGCGCAAAUUACCCAAUCCCGACACGGGGAGGUAGUGACAAUAAAUAACAAUACGGGGUCCUUUCGGAUCUCGUAAUUGGAAUGAGUACAAUUUAAAUCUCUUAACGAGGAACAAUUGGAGGGCAAGUCUGGUGCCAGCAGCCGCGGUAAUUCCAGCUCCAAUAGCGUAUAUUAAAGUUGUUGCAGUUAAAAAGCUCGUAGUUGAAUUUCGGGGUUAGUAGAUUGGUCAUGCCUCUGGUAUGCACUGGUCUCACUGAUUCCUCCUUCCUGAUGAGCCGUAAUGCCAUUAAUUUGGUGUUGCGGGGAAUUUGGACUGUUACUUUGAAAAAAUUAGAGUGUUUAAAGCAAGCUAACGCUUGAAUACAUUAGCAUGGAAUAAUGAAAUAGGACGUUCGAUCCUAUUUUGUUGGUUUCUAGGAUUGACGUAAUGAUUAAUAGGGAUAGUUGGGGGCAUUAGUAUUCAAUUGUCAGAGGUGAAAUUCUUGGAUUUAUUGAAGACUAACUACUGCGAAAGCAUUUGCCAAGGAUGUUUUCAUUAAUCAAGAACGAAAGUUAGGGGAUCGAAGACGAUCAGAUACCGUCGUAGUCUUAACCAUAAACUAUGCCGACUAGGGAUCGGAUGAUGUUAAUUUUUUAAUGACUCAUUCGGCGCCUUACGGGAAACCAAAGUGUUUGGGUUC
rnacentral:rRNA from 1 species